rnacentral:rRNA from 1 species
GACGAACGCUGGCGGCGUGCUUAACACAUGCAAGUCGAACGGAAAGGCCCUGCUUUUGUGGGGUGCUCGAGUGGCGAACGGGUGAGUAACACGUGAGUAACCUGCCCUUGACUUUGGGAUAACUUCAGGAAACUGGGGCUAAUACCGGAUAGGAGCUCCUGCUGCAUGGUGGGGGUUGGAAAGUUUCGGCGGUUGGGGAUGGACUCGCGGCUUAUCAGCUUGUUGGUGGGGUAGUGGCUUACCAAGGCUUUGACGGGUAGCCGGCCUGAACGGGUGACCGGCCACAUUGGGACUGAGAUACGGCCCAGACUCCUACGGGAGGCAGCAGUGGGGAAUAUUGCACAAUGGGCGGAAGCCUGAUGCAGCAACGCCGCGUGCGGGAUGACGGCCUUCGGGUUGUAAACCGCUUUCGCCUGUGACGAAGCGUGAGUGACGGUAAUGGGUAUAGAAGCACCGGCUAACUACGUG